rnacentral:rRNA from 1 species
UAAAUAACAAUGCAGGGCCCUUCGGGUCUUGCAAUUGGAAUGAGUACAAUUUAAACCCUUAACGAGGAACAAUUGGAGGGCAAGUCUGGUGCCAGCAGCCGCGGUAAUUCCAGCUCCAAUAGCGUAUAUUAAAGUUGUUGCAGUUAAAAAGCUCGUAGUUGGACCUUGGGCGUGGGGGCCGGGUUGGCCGCAAGGCACGACUCGGAACUCUUGCCUCUUUGGGGACUCGCCGUUCUGCGGCGAGGUAACCCGGGUUACUGUGAAGAAAUUAGAGUGUUUAAAGCAGGCGUUUGCUUGAAUACAUCAGCAUGGAAUAACAAGAUAGGACUUUGUUCCACUUGUUGGUUUGGGAAGAAUAGUAAUGAUUAAUAGGGCCAGUUGGGGGCAUUAGUAUUCAGUAGUCAGAGGUGAAAUUCUUGGAUUUACUGAAGACUAACUAGUGCGAAAGCAUUUGCCAAGGAUGUUUUCAUUAAUCAAGAACGAAAGUUAGGGGAUCGAAGACGAUCAGAUACCGUCGUAGUCUUAACUAUAAACGAUGCCGACUCGGGAUCGGCAGAAGUCGUUUGCGACUCUGUCGGCACCGUGUGAGAAAUCAAAGUUUUUGGGUUCUGGGGGGAGUAUGGUCGCAAGGCUGAAACUUAAAGGAAUUGACGGAAGGGCACCACCAGGAGUGGAGCCUGCGGCUUAAUUUGACUCAACACGGGAAAACUCACCAGGUCCGGACAUAGUAAGGAUUGACAGAUUGAGAGCUCUUUCUUGAUUCUGUGGGUGGUGGUGCAUGGCCGUUCUUAGUUGGUGGAGUGAUUUGUCUGGUUAAUUCCGAUAACGAACGAGACCUUAACCUGCUAACUAGUUGGCGGUAUGAGAAUACUGUUCGCUUCUUAGAGGGACUGACUAUGUUUAAUAGUCGGAAGUUUGAGGCAAUAACAGGUCUGUGAUGCCCUUAGAUGUUCUGGGCUGCACGCGCGCUACACUGACAGAGCCAGCGAGUACACCUUGGCCGAGAGGUCUGGGAAAUCUUGUGAAACUCUGUCGUGCUGGGGAUAGAUCAUUGCAAUUAUUGGUCUUGAACGAGGAAUUCCUAGUAAGCGCAAGUCAUCAGCUUGCGUUGAUUACGUCCCUGCCCUUUGUACACACCGCCCGUCGCUACUACCGAUUGAAUGGCUUAGUGAGGC